GACAGAGGCCUCGAGCGUUAGGCGGAAUCACUGGGCUUAAAGCGUGUGUAGGCGGGCCCGUAAGUGUCUUGUGAAAUCCCCCGGCUCAACCGGGGAACGGCUGGGCAUACUGCGGGUCUUGGGCCGACUAGGGGCAGCCGGAACAAGCGGUGGAGCGGUGAAAUGCGUAGAUAUCGCUUGGAACGGCCGAAGGUGAAAACAGGCUGACUGGGGGUCGCGCCGGACGCUGAGACGACGAAAGCCAGGGGAGCAAACGGGGA
rnacentral:rRNA from 1 species